rnacentral:rRNA from 1 species
AUUGAACGCUGGCGGCAGGCCUAACACAUGCAAGUCGAACGAGUGGCGGACGGGGGGGAAAAGUGUGGGAAACAGUCCGAGGGAGGGGGAUAACUCCAGUGAACGGGAGCUAAUACCGCAUAUCAUCGGAGAUGCCCAGAUGGGAUGAGCUAGUAGGUGUGGUAACGGCUCACCAAGGCGACGAUCCCUAGCUGGUCUGAGAGGAUGACCAGCCACACUGGAACUGAGACACGGUCCAUACUCCUACGGGAGGCAGCAGUGGGGAAUAUUGCACAAUGGGCGCAAGCCUGAUGCAGCCAUGCCGCGUGUAUGAAGAAGGCCUUCGGGUUGUAAAGUACUUUCAGCGAGGAGGCGUUACCCGCAGAAGAAGCACCGGCUAACUCCGUGCCAGCAGCCGCGGUAAUUC